rnacentral:rRNA from 1 species
CACGUAGGCGGAUUGCUAAGUCAGGGGUGAAAUCCUGGAGCUCAACUCCAGAACUGCCCUUGAUACUGGCGGUCUCGAGUCCGGGAGAGGUGAGUGGAACUGCGAGUGUAGAGGUGAAAUUCGUAGAUAUUCGCAAGAACACCAGUGGCGAAGGCGGCUCACUGGCCCGGUACUGACGCUGAGGUGCGAAAGCGUGGGAGCAAACAGGAUUAGAUACCUGGUAGUCCACGCCGUAAACGAUGGAUGCUAGCCGUUGGUGGGUUUACCUAUCAGUGGCGCAGCUAACGCAUUAAGCAUCCCGCCUGGGGAGUACGGUCGCAAGAAUUAAA